rnacentral:rRNA from 1 species
GACGAAUGCUGGCUGCGUGCUUAACACAUGCAAGUCGAACGGUGAAAGGGAGCUUGCUCCCUGGAUCAGUGGCGAACGGGUGAGUAACACGUGGGCAACCUGCCCCUCACUCUGGGAUAACUCCGGGAAACCGGGGCUAAUACCGGAUACGACCUGGUGCGACAUCGCACCGGGUGGAAAGAACUUCGGUGAGGGAUGGGCCCGCGGCCUAUCAGCUUGUUGGUGGGGUAACGGCCCACCAAGGCGACGACGGGUAGCCGGCCUGAGAGGGCGACCGGCCACACUGGGACUGGGACACGGCCCAGACUCCUACGGGAGGCAGCAGUGGGGAAUAUUGCGCAAUGGGCGAAAGCCUGACGCAGCGACGCAGCGUGAGGGACGAAGGCCUUCGGGUUGUAAACCUCUUUCAGCGGGGACGAAGCGAAAGUGACGGUACCCGCAGAAGAAGCACCGGCUAACUACGUGCCAGCAGCCGCGGUAAGAC